rnacentral:rRNA from 1 species
UGAGGAAUAUUGGUCAAUGGGCGAGAGCCUGAACCAGCCAAGUAGCGUGAAGGAUGACUGCCCUAUGGGUUGUAAACUUCUUUUAUAAAGGAAUAAAGUCGGGUAUGCAUACCCGUUUGCAUGUACUUUAUGAAUAAGGAUCGGCUAACUCCGUGCCAGCAGCCGCGGUAAUACGGAGGAUCCGAGCGUUAUCCGGAUUUAUUGGGUUUAAAGGGAGCGUAGAUGGAUGUUUAAGUCAGUUGUGAAAGUUUGCGGCUCAACCGUAAAAUUGCAGUUGAUACUGGAUAUCUUGAGUGCAGUUAAGGCAGGCGGAAUUCGUGGUGUAGCGGUGAAAUGCUUAGAUAUCACGAAGAACUCCGAUUGCGAAGGCAGCCUGCUAAGCUGCAACUGACAUUGAGGCUCGAAAGUGUGGGUAUCAAACAGGAUUAGAUACCCUGGUAGUCCACACGGUAAACGAUGAAUACUCGCUGUUUGCGAUAUACUGCAAGCGGCCAAGCGAAAGCGUUAAGUAUUCCACCUGGGGAGUACGUCGGCAACGGUGAAACUCAAAGGAAUUGACGGGGGCCCGCACAAGCGGAGGAACAUGUGGUUUAAUUCGAUGAUACGCGAGGAACCUUACCCGGGCUUAAAUUGCAGAUGAAUUACGGUGAAAGCCGUAAGCCGCAAGGCAUCUGUGAAGGUGCUGCAUGGUUGUCGUCAGCUCGUGCCGUGAGGUGUCGGCUUAAGUGCCAUAACGAGCGCAACCCUUGUUGUCAGUUACUAACAGGUUCCGCUGAGGACUCUGACAAGACUGCCAUCGUAAGAUGUGAGGAAGGUGGGGAUGACGUCAAAUCAGCACGGCCCUUACGUCCGGGGCUACACACGUGUUACAAUGGGGGGUACAGAGGGCCGCUACCACGCGAGUGGAUGCCAAUCCCCAAAACCUCUCUCAGUUCGGACUGGAGUCUGCAACCCGACUCCACGAAGCUGGAUUCGCUAGUAAUCGCGCAUCAGCCACGGCGCGGUGAAUACGUUCCC